GACGUAGGGCGCGAGCGUUGUCCGGAUUUAUUGGGCGUAAAGAGCUCGUAGGCGGCUCAUUGCGUCAACCGUGAAAUCCUGCUGCUCAACGGCAGGUCUGCGGUUGAUACGGGUGGGCUGGAGUUCGGUAGGGGAGACUGGAAUUCCUGGUGUAGCGGUGGAAUGCGCAGAUAUCAGGAGGAACACCAAUAGCGAAGGCAGCUCGCUGGGACGUUACUGACACUGAGGCGCGAAAGCGUGGGGAGCGAACAGG
rnacentral:rRNA from 1 species